GACUGUUUAGUUGUAGCAAAAAUUCAUUUUGGGGACUGUUGAUCUUAAGUUAUAAUUGUUAUUGUUUGACCGUUGUUUCUUGCCUGCAGAUGCAAAUAUUUUUGUAAGUGGGUAUGCACGGAAAAGUAAUCCGACCUUUUUACUUGAUAUAAGAAUGGUCCCACUUCCAAAGUCCAAAGUUUGUUUGCUUUAGUGUUGCUCACUUUUGUUCCUACCCGAGGUGACUGCUUUGCAUUAUGGCAGAGGGCUCCUCUCUCGACAGCUUCAAGCAGUUGGAAUCUGUGCUGGAUGCUAUCAUUGAGGAAAAGGUGGCCAGUCAUGUGCAGGAUAUUCGUGCUGAGCAACAGGAACUACGCGAGACUGUGAAACGCCUGGAAAGUGAGCGUAUCUCACCAAAAAAGACCCAAGCAAAGGCCCAAAGUGCUGAUGAACAAGAGGAGGAUGGAGAUAGAAAUGUCAGGACAAGUAUACUAAUCACCUAGAGCAUCAUGAUAACUCAAAAAUUUAUUACCUGCAGAGGACAACACGAAGAUUUUGCAACGAUUUCUAGAAAUGGUUAUUACUAAAGAUACACCCAUCACAUCUGUUCCUGGGGCCAAAAAUGCACUCGAAAGCUUGAAGAAAUCUGGACAAUGCACCAAGGCUAUCAAUCUAAUGGACAAGUUCAUCUUUCUGAAUGGAGAUGAGAUUGGGUUUAAAAAGUUGCUUAUAGAACAUGGUGCCAAAGAUUAUCAUGCAGGCAGGACUUACCGUGCCAUCAAAGAGAAGCUCAAAAACAUGUGUUCCUAACCAGAUGGAGAAUUAAUGAUGUGACAGUGAUAUAACCAUUUACUCUCACUGUCUCUCCAAAUAUAUAUUGAUAUUGUGGUCUAACAUUGACUCUCAUAAUUCCACCAGAUGCCAUAAAACUGCCGCCUAAGAAAAAAAAUACAUGACUUUAAAGUGAUUUAGAGAUGUACUAAAUAAUGCAGCAUCAGUAAUCCUGAGGUAUAUAUAAUCUUCAGAUAUCUAGGUGUUCAAGACAAUCUUGAGAAGGCCUCUAUAAGAAUUGUUUUCUUUUAAUGUGGCAGUAUUAUGGCACCUUGAGGUCCAACCCUUGCCAGACCAUGUUUGGGGGUUGGUCCUAGCCUGAGCAAGGUCAUCUGCGUAUAACAACACAUGCUGCAUUUAUUUAGACUGGAUAACUAUAUUGAUAGCAGACUAGGCAUUUAGACACACUGCAGUAGAAAUGUGCAGGUGUGUGACUUGAUGGUGAGCAGUUUCCACAAAUUACAAUCAUUAUGUUAAUUUUCACAUAUCACAACUGAUAUAAGCUGUGUCCUGUGGGCAGAGUGUAAAGGCAUUAUAUUAGGGGCCAUUCUACCAUGAUGAUAAUAUACAUUUGCACAAGAAACCUGCAGAAAACAUGUAUAACAGCAUUUCCUAAAAAAUAUUUUCCCUUUAAUAUCAGAAGCAAAGUACCGGGUAUGUCAUGUACAUACUGCAAUGACAAAGCCAUAGAUAAAAAAAGAUUUCCACACUUAUUUUGAAAGACAAUAUAAUUGGACAGUAUAUGUGCACCAGAAAUUAAUAUUCCCAGAUAUUCUGAUGAAAUCAAAGAAACAACAGCUGCUUGUCUUCGAACUUUACAUCAAUAACUAAAAAGUAGACACUCGGCCCUGUCACCACUAAAGGCGCCACAUACAUGCAAACUAAACUAAAAAGCUAAAUAGGAAAUUCAUUGAAUACAAAACUUGUUGUGAAACACUUAAAGUUAAAGCGAGAAGAAUACCAGACAUGUUUAGCAUUAAAUUGCUUUAGACACUG